rnacentral:pre_miRNA from 13 species
GUGACAGGCUCCUUGGCCUUCCUGGUUCUUCCAGUAGUUGGGAAAAGCUGCGUUGAGAGGGAAAAAGAAAAAAAAAA